rnacentral:rRNA from 1 species
UAAUACGAAGGGUGCAAGCGUUACUCGGAAUUACUGGGCGUAAAGCGUGCGUAGGUGGUCGUUUAAGUCCGUUGUGAAAGCCCUGGGCUCAACCUGGGAACUGCAGUGGAUACUGGGCGACUAGAGUGUGGUAGAGGGUAGCGGAAUUCCUGGUGUAGCAGUGAAAUGCGUAGAGAUCAGGAGGAACAUCCAUGGCGAAGGCAGCUACCUGGACCAACACUGACACUGAGGCACGAAAGCGUGGGGAGCAAACAGGAUUAGAUACCCUGGUAGUCCACGCCCUAAACGAUGCGAACUGGAUGUUGGGUGCAAUUUGGCACGCAGUAUCGAAGCUAACGCGUUAAGUUCGCCGCCUGGGGAGUACGGUCGCAAGACUGAAACUCAAAGGAAUUGACGGGGGCCCGGCACAAGCGGUGGAGUAUGUGGUUUAAUUCGAUGCAACGCGAAGAACCUUACC